CUCGGCUCCCCCGGUCCUGUGGGUGCACUCGGGCACAACGGUGAGAUUGGCCACCCAUGAAUCGGGAAUAUGAGCUUGGCUCUGGCUUCCGUGAGACCGUG
rnacentral:rRNA from 15 species